rnacentral:rRNA from 1 species
CGCAUGGUCUGGUACCGCUCCGCGUCCCCGAUCCCGGCGGCCCCGCCCGCAACUCCCUUAUUUUCGGAAUAAGGAAAACAGAUUCGCAGCAAGCUUGCGCCGCCGAUCCUCCCUUAUCCUCCUGCGCCCCGAGUCCACCCCGCCUCCGGUCGCCACCCGCGCUCAGCCGCCGCCGGCCUCCUCUGCCGGAUGCCAUGGCCAUGGACCAAAGCUCGAAUUGGAUGUUGGUGAUAGCUUCCCUCGCGAAUGCCUGGAGGUGGGAUGAGCAAAUCCCGAAUCUCCUUACUGCCUGGACUGGAGAGUUGCAUCCAAUCAGGCCUCCUCCUCUCCACUAAGUGCCUCUGAACACAUGAGUUCUUGCACGGUGGAGGCGUGGAGCAUAGGAGCAUACAACUGAUUCUUUGGAACACCUGAUUCCGGAAAACCAACAGAAGAUUUACCGGCGAACCCUCACUUUUAAGAGACAAACCUAACUGUAAUGUUGGACAUGCUAUGAGCACUCUAGGUCCAACAACCUGCAUUGUAUCUGAAUAGAAGAAAAAAAUUAUUAAGAUAUCUACAAGUUUUGGGGAAGUCCUCCAAAAGAACAGAGAUCUCAUUCAAACAACAUUCUCCAUUGAGUCAACUUCGUCGCCAUGAUUUUUUUAAAACAGAGGAUGGCAUUUGUCAGUAAGGUUUUUAUUGCAAAAUCUGGUGUGCGAGAGGCUAGGGAUCUGUGAUCUAGGAUGUUGAAGAAACAGAUGGCAACUAAGGUCUUCAAUCCCUAUCAAAAAGUGGGCUCCAAUCAAAAGAAGAAUCAGUAGUUCAAGAUGGAAUUUAUUCUUCUUCAAAGUAGAUGACAUUUAUUCAUUUUUUGAGCAUUUAUGGUUUUGUGUGUAUAUUGAAUUAUUUUAUGAGUUGUGAUAUUUAUUCUUAAACAAUAAGAAAUUCAAUGCAAAGGUCCACACUAAUGUGUGAGCAGGCGUCAUAUUAUGUGACGCUUUUAGUUUAUCGGCAGUAGCAGUUGCAACAACAUUAUGUACGCAAAAUCUUUUGGUCUUGCGAUUUUACGUUUGGUUUAGUGACAUUGAUAUUUUAGUGGGAGGCAGCUUUUCAAUCAUGAUAGGUUUCAAGCUUCUUUAACAACCAAUCCAAGCACCUAAUGGAGGAAAUAACACAUAUUAUUGUCUGUAUGCAACAACAUGACCACAGUUAUGUGUCACCUUCGAGAAUACAAAAUAUGAGCAAGACAACAACAUAAUGUCUCCAUUUACCUUUUUGGGAACAUUUUUUUGUGUGUUCGUGUGAAUCUCAUUUAGCAAGGAGAACGUUUAAGACGUGCGUUGCACGUGCAAGCUUACUAGGUGAAUUCAAGCUAAAAUAUGAAUUGUACUGUUCUAACUAUAUUUUUUUUCAGAUCCAUUUUCCAGGAAAAUGGGCAUGAUAAGAUCAUUAUCUAAAAGCCAUGGGAUGAGCCAUGAAUGAGACCAUUCCCUUUUGCUGCUUUAUUGUCAUUGUUGAUGAGUCCAAGCUCGUCCCGCUUCAGCAUCGUGUACAUGUUGGGACUCAUCGGCAAUGUGUUCGGCAAAUUGCUAGGCUUCCACACCAAGACGCUAUCAAAUCUCUCCAUUUCUUGAAAAGAAGACUACUGUUGUUGUCAGCUCUUUUCUGUCAUUGAUCCAAAGACCAGGUCAUGAGUUUAAAACAACAUGGUGGGAAAUCUGAUUAUCUUGGCAGCACCAAAUGAAAAUCUCUGGUAGCAGUGAGGCUGAAAAAUGCAUGUUAUGGAGUAACUUGAAGGCAUCCAAAAUCUGCGUAUUCGCUAUUGAUGAAGCGCAUUGCAUAUUGGAAUGGGGUCAUGAUUUCAGGUUAUUUGUUCUGCUAUUGUGUGAAUUAUUUCAGCUAAAGAGCUGACAAUUUACUUUCGUUUCAAUUUUUGAUAUGUCCUAUGCAUUUAGUUUGGAAAUUUUAUGUGUCUUGGUGGUAAAUGCAAAAGAUAUCAGUUCAUAUCAGCUAUCAAUUAUCGCUAGAUUGCUCUCACCCUUUAAUUCUGUGGUCAAAUUUGGCGACCUGUCGAGGAUGGCGAGUGCAGCGUGAUAGCUCUGCCUUUUACACUAAUCUUUUACCUAAAUUUUAUUUGAUAAACGGAUCGUUGCAUCAGACAGGUCUGCAGUACCAAACAGCUUGAAGCUUGUUAGUUGAUGAUACUAUGCAUUUAUGUUACAGUGCUUAGUGCGCAGGCAUUGAUCAUAGUAGUACGAACACAUGCAAUCUUUAAUCAGUGUUACAUUUUGAGAAGGACUAUUCUUCUUCCAUGUUAAUUCUCGGCUUGUAGGAACAUAAUGGAUUGAUUUUUAUAUUAGAUUCGAUAGUUGUGGUUUUCUUUUCUAAUCGUGUACCAGAUGCAACAUUUGUCUUGCCUUGUAGUUUUGAACGGGGGUAGUAUUUGUUUUCCAUUACUUUUUUAUGGUUAGAGAAAUGUUAUUAUUGUCGAAAAACACAAACAUUGACAUUGCACUAAGUGCAUGCUUCAUUAUUUGUAAUCUCUACUCCUAAUGGAGUAGUUGGUAGGAUUGCGUCCAGGUUUAUUUUCGUCCGUUUUAUUUUUGUCUGAUUUAGUUUUAUCUCACCUUCUAUCAUCAUAUCUCACGUCGAUUUUUUCACCCUCCCAAUAAAAACUUUCUAAACAUUUGCAAACUUUCCUAACCAGGCACGUCACAAAUGAGCAGGUACUGACAUCACAUUACAAAUAAUAAAAC